AGUGAACGCUGGCGGUAGGCCUAACACAUGCAAGUCGAACGGCAGCACAGUAAGAGCUUGCUCUUACGGGUGGCGAGUGGCGGACGGGUGAGGAAUACAUCGGAAUCUACUUUUUCGUGGGGGAUAACGUAGGGAAACUUACGCUAAUACCGCAUACGACCUACGGGUGAAAGCAGGGGAUCUUCGGACCUUGCGCGAUUGAAUGAGCCGAUGUCGGAUUAGCUAGUUGGCGGGGUAAAGGCCCACCAAGGCGACGAUCCGUAGCUGGUCUGAGAGGAUGAUCAGCCACACUGGAGCUGAGACACGGUCCAGACUCCUACGGGAGGCAGCAGUGGGGAAUAUUGGACAAUGGGCGCAAGCCUGGUCCAGCCAUACCGCGUGGGUGAAGAAGGCCUUCGGGUUGUAAAGACCUUUUGUUGGGAAAGAAAAGCAGCAGGUUAAUACCCCGCUGUUCUGACGGUACCCAAAGAAUAAGCACCGGCUAACUUCGUG
rnacentral:rRNA from 1 species